UGCCAGACUCCUACGGGAGGCAGCAGUGGGGGAUAUUGCACAAUGGGGGGAACCCUGAUGCAGCGACGCCGCGUGGGUGAAGGAGUGCUUCGGCAUGUAAAGCCCUAUCGGCAGGGAAGAAGCAAGACGGUACCUGACUAAGAAGCCCCGGCUAACUACGUGCCAGCAGCCGCGGUAAUACGUAGGGGGCGAGCGUUAUCCGGAGUGACUGGGUGUAAAGAGUUGCGUAGGUGGCAUAGUAAGUAGCUAGUGAAAUCUGGUGGCUCAACCAUUCAGACUAUUAGCUAAACUGCUAAGCUCGAGACCGUUAGGGGUAACUGGAAUUUCUAGUGUAGGAGUGAAAUCCGUAGAUAUUAGAAGGAACACCGAUAGCGUAGGCAGGUUACUGGGACGGUUCUGACACUAAGGCACGAAAGCGUAGGGAGCAAACGGGAUUAGAUACCCCAGUAC
rnacentral:rRNA from 1 species